GGAAGUUGGUGGGGUUGCGCCACGAGCAGAAGGUCGCGACGGUAUAACGGAGUAUAUAACCCUCGGGUUCUCGUCGAGUACGGUGGCGGAAUUUCGAGAAGUUUCCCAUUUAUCUCCAAUACUCCCUCUCGAUGAAUACUUUACUCGGCCCGAAAAGUUUUCGCGAUUAAAAGUUUGGAUUUCGAGGAUGAUUGUUUCGAUACGCGCUUCAGAGAGUAUUUCUUAACGUCGAUAUGUCGUGAAACGUGAAAUGCUCAAGUUAUUCGUUCAUUGCGUUUCUCAAUUUUGCAUUUUGAUACUUGCCAAUUGGCACAAGGAGAAAUAAUAAUGAGAAUAUGAGAAGUUUAGUUUUCUUCUUCUUUCUCUUGAAGAAGAACAAUUUCUUCAAUUACGAGGCUACCUUCCCAUUUCACGAGUCUCGAGAUAAAACGAAAGAGUGCCAAAAGCAGCUAGGUGAGACGGCGGAUAAAUUUCUUCUGUCCAUUCUAAGAUCCAGAGAUCGUUCGUUUGGUAAAACAAUUUGCUCCGCGGGCAACGCGGGAGUAAUUUCUUGGGCUAAUGGCUCGUAUCACUUUUCAUUUUUAACGGAAUUAAAUUCUAAUGAGAUGAGAAGAGGAAGAGGAAAUAGUUCGACUUUCUAAUAAAAAGGAAUAAACGAGAUAAAAAGUUGGAAAGAAACCAGACAUCUCGCCGGUGCUUGUCCAGGACAAUUAGAAAUUGCGAAGAUAUAAAAAUAAAGCGAAAAGGAAUGAAUCCCGAAUUGCUUGUUGAAUUGAUGUAGAAACACUCGUAUCUUUUCUCACUUCUACAGAAUAAUGAAUCGGUCAGGAAGAGAGAGAACAAGAAAAAGAGAUAAUUAAGCAGAUUUACUUGCGACGGAGAGACACGAUUCUUUCGUGCCUUCAUAAAUUGGCCUCGGUUUCUUAAAGGUUUUAAUUAAUCGAGAAAUCAACUGAACGAAAUUAACUUUGCUUUAAUAAGACAGAGGGGAUUAAGUUAAAUAAAAAUUGCGGCAGAUGAAACGAUAUCGAUCUGUUGUUUUCGCUUUGAAAUAUUUGUUACGGAAAGAAUCGGGAGGAAUUUAAAUGAAACAAGUUUUGAAUUGGUACAUACUUUGCCAAGUUUCUAACGAUAAAAAAGUUUUGAAUUGUGCGAUAUAUUUUCGAUUAUAUCUUUCGCACAAAAUUACUUUCCUUUCGAAGAAAGAAAUAAGAAAUCAUUAUUACGCGCUUAUUACGAUGAUUAUCGCAUUUAUCGACGCUUAUCGCUUCAUUUGAAACCUUGAAAUCCUAAAAAUGAUCGUUCAUUGAAAUUAAUUAUACAGCGUUUUAUUAAUUGCAUUUACGCAACACGCGAUCUACGAAGCAAGCUUACGUGAAAGCAUCGAAAGUUCGCACUUUUCUCCUUCAUCCUUUCAUGAUGAAAUUUCACAGUCGGCGCUGUUCGAGUUUCGCCUUCGAAACGAGCGGGCAAACGCUUACGUAAAAGCCUUUUGUGCAACCAAGUUGAAAAGUCCUCGAGUAGAGAAUUAAUCGGAAAAACGGUAUGCGUCGAUAAGAAUUCUCGAACCGGAGCUGUCCCGAUUGCAGGCGAAGAUUGCUCAUAGAUAUUCAUGAAACUACGUAAUGGUAAUUUAAAAUGUGCCUUACGUCAGCAUUAGCCUAGUGAUGGAACAUUAUCGAAACAAUACCGAACAUUAUUAUAUUGAUCAAAAAAGAAUUUAGCAGUAUUUUAUUUUUUUUUUCUUUCUUUCUUUUUUUCUUUUUCAUUUUCAUGUUUGAUGUUGUGGCGUUUUAAAAUUUUUACUUCUUUUUUUAUUCCUUGUUUUAUUGUUCAUGGAUAUAUGAAUAAAAGAGUUAAGUACGUUUAAUUCAUACGAAGUUUUAGUAUAUUAUUUAGUAUAUUAUUGUGAUUAAUUUCUAUAAAAUUGUAGUUUAUCGCUGUUAAGAAAAAGAAAUAAUUAUUAUUAAGAUAAGAAUCAUUUAUAUUAUAUUUAUAUAUAUUCUUAAAUUGAAAACAAAGUUUUUAUAUCUCUAAAAAAUUUGAAUUUGAAAGAAUUAAUUUUCUAUGAAUUAUGUACAUGUAUAUUUUGAAAUAAAAGUCGUUGUUAGUCACGUAUGAUACAAUACGACAUAUGAUAGAUACAACAACAGAAAUAAUGCAAAUAGAAACAGAAAACAAAAAGCUAUUUGAUCGUUGAUCAUCUUUCAAAAGUUGUUUAUCACGUUUAUCGUCUUUAAUAUAAACAUUAUGUAAUAAUUUAAUGAAAAUAUAAUUACUUUACUUCAGACAAAUUAUAAUAAGUUACAAAUUUUACAAAAAAAUUAUAAAAAUGUAAAAUAUAAUUGUGAUAAUUAUAUAUCACAAUUAAUAUAUAAUAUAAAUUUUAUGAAAAUAAUAGAUCGAUUCAAAAAACUCAUUUAUUUUUAUCGUGAAGAAUAGUAAGAAGAAAUUAAUCGAAUAAAAAACUCAAGCAAAUCUCGAGGAUAAAGUGGAAAGUAUGUGACCUUCAUCGUGACCUCUACAGGACCAGUUUCGUGAUCCAAUCCACCAAAAUAUCUAUCCGCCCACGACGAAGACGAGACCGAAUUAAUACAUGGCCAAAUCAAACAGGCACGAAAUUGGAGAAUGUUGAAAGUUAUAAAUAUAUACUUGCUACUGAAAAUAAUUAAACUUCUCUUCGCAUGGAUAACUCGAGAAAACGAUUCAAACUUCAAAGAGGAAUGCAAUGUUGAUUGUCAUAAUAUUUCUACGGAAUACAUAAUUCAUCGAAGAUGUUGGAACUUUCAAAAUAUUGAUUAUGUUAUUGAUUGCGAGUGAUAAAAUCACUUGAAGAGGGCAUCUGUUCAUUAUUUUUAGGAAUCGUUUAUUAUUUUUAACUCGAGAUACGUAUUUAUGAUCUCGAUAAAAUAUUAAGCAUUAAUAAAAGCAUUUCAUAUUCAAUAUAAGAUAAAAACUAAAAAUUUCUAUUUCUCUAUUUUUACAAGAAAAAUCUACGAUAAGUCAAUAAAAUCCUUAAAUCUA